rnacentral:rRNA from 1 species
AUACGGAGGGUGCAAGCGUUAUCCGGAAUCAUUGGGUUUAAAGGGUCCGCAGGCGGACUAGUAAGUCAGUGGUGAAAUCCCGUAGCUCAACUACGGAACUGCCAUUGAAACUGUUAGUCUUGAAUUCGGUCGAAGUGGGCGGAAUGUGUCAUGUAGCGGUGAAAUGCAUAGAUAUGACACAGAACACCGAUAGCGAAGGCAGCUCACUAGGCCUGAAUUGACGCUCAGGGACGAAAGCGUGGGGAGCGAACAGGAUUAGAAACCCCGGUAGUCC